UACGUAGGGUGCAAGCGUUGUCCGGAAUUACUGGGCGUAAAGCGUGCGCAGGCGGUUAUGUAAGACAGAUGUGAAAUCCCCGGGCUCAACCUGGGAACUGCAUUUGUGACUGCAUAGCUAGAGUACGGUAGAGGGGGAUGGAAUUCCGCGUGUAGCAGUGAAAUGCGUAGAUAUGCGGAGGAACACCGAUGGCGAAGGCAAUCCCCUGGACCUGUACUGACGCUCAUGCACGAAAGCGUGGGGAGCAAACAGG
rnacentral:rRNA from 1 species